rnacentral:antisense_RNA from 1 species
CAACCUGUUCUAUAAGCACUUGAUCAUUACAAUCCUUUGUACUAGUUGGUUGUAAUAAUUGUCUUAAAUGUUGUGUUAGUGAUAUACGUAAUGGU